rnacentral:misc_RNA from 1 species
GUAGAACUUUCACUGUUCAUAAGAACAGUGAAAGUAAUCUCUCUUUUAUUAUAGUAUAAUAAUGCUUAAUUGCAUAUAUGCAUGUAUUGAUUAGACAGGUAUAUUUAUUCCACCGUACACUGACAUGGAAUUAUAAAAACUUAUCUUUUGUUUGGAUUGAGGGAAAUUGAGAGAAGAGAAAAAUAAAGAAAUAUGAUUUUUCUAAUUUCUCUUGUUUGGACAUUAAAUAAUGGAGAGAAAUGAGGAGAAUAGAAAGAAAUUUCAUUUCCCAACCCAAAAAUAUUUCCCUCCAGAUUGGAGUGAAAUGGAGGGAAAUGUGGGAAUGCA